CCUCCUUAUACGAUUUAGAACUUAUUUGUUCGUAGUGUCCACACAGAUGAUUGUUAGUUAGUUUUACCCUUUGGGUUAACUAAUUAAUAUGCUCUUUAAAAAUUUGGAAAAGCUGAUAAUAAAAUUCGUAUGAAUAACAUUGUUAUUUGUACAGAGUUUUCAAAAGUAAAAAAGAAUGAUAGCAGUAUCAUUCAGUGCCAAUUUAAUCCUCGGAUUAAUUGGUAUCUACUUUAGUAUUCAAUAUUAACUUCUGGCGAAGUUAAACUGUCACGAAACAAAGACCCGUUUGGGUUGUAUGGUUAAGUGACUAAGCGUACACGGUGGAUGCCUUGGCAGUUGGAGGCGAUGAAGGACGUAUUAACUUGCGAUAAGCCUAGUCAAGCUAGUAAAAAGCACUUGAGACUAGGAUUUCCGAAUGGGA
rnacentral:misc_RNA from 1 species